GACGAACGCUGGCGGCAUGCCUAAUACAUGCAAGUUGAACGAUGAUAUUCUCUGCUUGCAGAGAAUUGAAGAGUAGCGAACGGGUGAGUAACACGUGGGGAACCUGUCCAUGAGAGGGGGAUAACAUUCGGAAACGGAUGCUAAUACCGCAUAAUGCUUUGGACCGCCGGGUCCAGAGACGAAAGACGGCUUUUGCGGUCACUCAUGGAGGGCCCCGCGCCGUAUUAGCUAGUUGGUGAGGUAAUGGCUCACCAAGGCUGUGAUACGUAGCCGACCUGUGAGGGUGAUCGGCCACACUGGGACUGGGACACGGCCCAGGCUCCUACGGGAGGCAGCAGUAGGGUAUCUUCCGCAAUGGGCGAGAGCCUGAUGGAGCAAUGCCGCGUGAAUGAAGAAGGUCUUCGGAUCGUAAAGUUCUGUUAUUAGUGAAGAACAAGUCAAGGAGUAACUGUCUUGACUUUGACGGUACCUAACCAGAAAGUCACGGCUAACUACGUG
rnacentral:rRNA from 1 species